AUUGAACGCUGGCGGCAGGCCUAACACAUGCAAGUCGAACGAGUGGCGGACGGGUGUGUAAUGUCUGGGAAACUGCCCGACUGAGGGGGAUAACAACUGGAAACGGUAGCUAAUACCGCAUACCAUCGAAUGUGCCCAGAUGGGAUUAGCUAGUGGGUGGGGUAACGGCUCACCUAGGCGACGAUCCCUAGCUGGUCUGCGAGGAUGACCAGCCACACUGGAACGGAGACACGGUCCAGACUCCUACGGGAGGCAGCAGGGGGGAAUAUUGCACAAUGGGCGCAAGCCUGAUGCAGCCAUGCCGCGGGUAUGAAGAAGGCCUUCGGGUUGUAAAGUACUUUCAGCGAGGAGGCGUUACUCGCAGAAGAAGCACCGGCUAACUCCGUGCCAGCAGCCGCGGUAAUAC
rnacentral:rRNA from 1 species